AAUCCCCGCCUCUCCGCAGCGAAAAGUCAGACUCCUGAAGGUUUUCAGCAGCGGGAAGCGAGCACUGACCUUGUUAACAAAAACCUGCCUGGAGUCCAGGGCUCUGACGGUGGAGCCGCCAACGAGCUCGGCCGCCGCGCUGGGCGGGUCGGGUCGGGUCGGGCCCACCCCGCGGGCAGGUGCUCGGCGGUCGGCGGCCGGCCGCUGGGGGCGCCGCUCAGACCCGUCCCGGCGCGGGGACCAGCCCCCCCAGGUCGCCCCCGCAGCCCCCAGGUCGCCCCCCGCAGCCCCCAGGUCGCACCCCGCAGCCCCAGGUCGCACCUCGAAGCCACCUUGCAGCCCCCAGGUCGUCCCCUGCAGCCCCCAGGUCGCCCCCGCAGCCCCCAGGUCGCCCCCAGGUCGCCCUCUGCAGCUCCCAGGUCGCCCCCCGCAGCCCCCAGGUCGCCCCCCGCAGCCACCUUGCAGCCCCCAGGUCGCCCCCUGCAGUCCCCAGGUCGCCCCCAGGUCGCCUCCAGGUCGCCCCCUGCAGCUCCCAGGUUGUCCCCCGUAGCCCCUAGGCAGCACCCCGCAGCCCCCAGGUCGCCCCCCGCAGCCACUUUGCAGCCCCCAGGUCGCCCCCCGCAGCCCCGGGGAGGAAGGCGCCGCUCGCUCCCACCCCCCAGAGGUCUGCGGCGUCUACACAGCCGGUUCCGCGGGGUAUGUCACCGAAGGGAGCCGGAUUCCUCUGAACCCUGCAGCUCACGUUUUCCGUGCAAAGAACGAAAAGUCGAUUUUUCCCGAAAGUUUCCGAUGAAGACUUGCAAGUUUUGCAAGCGGCACCCGGCAGCCCCGCUCCCCGGGGCGCUGGCCGGUCGCGCCCCCUCCCCUCCCCUCCCCUCCCCUCCCCGGCUGCGGGCUCCCCCGGGGUCCGCCUCCCGCUGGAAGCUGCGCGCCCCGACGCGGGGGAAGAGCGGCCCCGCGGGUCCCGGCCCCCCCCGGCCCCCCGCGCCCCCGCCGCCCCCGGACUCCGGCGCAGGCCUCCCCGCCGUGCGGCUCGGGCUCGGGCUCGGGCUCGGGGUCGGGGUCGGGCGGGCUCGGCUCGGGGCGCACACAAUGGCCCACCUGCCCGGGCCGCACGGAUGCCCC
rnacentral:lncRNA from 1 species